ensembl:snRNA U6 U6 spliceosomal RNA
GUGUUUGCUUUGGCAACACAUCUAAUAAAAUUGGAAUGAUGCAGAAGAAGUUUAGCAUGGCCUCUGCACAAGAAUGACAUGCAAAUUCAUGAAGUGUUCCAUACCCCG